AUUGAACGCUGGCGGCAUGCCUUACACAUGCAAGUCGAACGGCAGCGGGCCUUCGGGUGCCGGCGAGUGGCGAACGGGUGAGUAAUGCAUCGGAACGUGCCAUUGAGUGGGGGAUAACGUAGCGAAAGUUGCGCUAAUACCGCAUAUUCUGUGAGCAGGAAAGCAGGGGACCGCAAGGCCUUGCGCUCUUCGAGCGGCCGAUGUCAGAUUAGCUAGUUGGUGAGGUAAAGGCUUACCAAGGCGACGAUCUGUAGCGGGUCUGAGAGGAUGAUCCGCCACACUGGAACUGAGACACGGUCCAGACUCCUACGGGAGGCAGCAGUGGGGAGUCUUAGACAAUGGGGGAAACCCUGAUCUAGCCAUGCCGCGUGGACGAUGAAGGCCUUAGGGUUGUAAAGUCCUUUCAGCUGGGAAGAUAAUGACGGUACCAGCAGAAGAAGCCCCGGCUAACUCCGUGCCAGCAGCCGCGGUAAUGU
rnacentral:rRNA from 1 species